UUUUUUUACGACUUUAAUCGUUACACAGUUAUAUCCCUUAAAAAAUAAAUCUGAUUUCUAUACAUGCUUUCUUCAGUUUGAAGCUCUUGUUGAGAAUUUUUUGACAGGAAAAUUAAGGUGUUUCAAUUUGAUGGUGGUGGUGAAUUCACUUCAAAUGAAUUCUCCAAUCACCUUGCUCAUUGCGGUGUCUAAUCAAAUAUUGUGUCGUCACACACCAGAACAAAAUGGUCUUGCGGGGCGCAAACAUCAACAUAGUGUUGAAACAUGAUUCACUUUACUUUUCAUGCUAAUGUUCCUUUAAAAUUUCAGGUUGAUGCUUUUUAACUGCUAUUUACCUUAUAAAUCGAUUCCCGCUCUCCUCUACGGAAUGAAGGUUGUCUCUAUUGCUGAAGACCCUAUGGAUGAAACGCACACCUACUUCAGUCCCCUCUUCCCCAACCUCUACAUCCAUACCCAAUCCAAACCUAAACAAUAUAUCCCUUCAUCACCUAAUGACGUUAUUUCCCAACCCGUCCCACCACCAACACGACAUACUCGAGAGACAUGACCUCCAUCAUACCCAAUAAAAGACUAUAUAUGUUUGCCCUUCUCUCGCUAACCUAUCUACAUCCCAUGAUGCCCUUUUGAAGAACCUAAAAUCUACAGAAUUGCUUAUAAAACCUAUAGGUUUUGCUCAUCCACAACUCCCUAAUCAUGUGUGCCAACUUCAUAAAUCUCUCUAUGGGCUUAAACAAGCUCCACGUGCAUGCUUUGAAAAGAUUGUGCAGGUUGCCCUACAACUAGGAGAAGCACCACUGGUUUUCGCAUCUUUUUUCAACCACAUUGUAUAUCACGGGCCUCAAAGAAACAACCUACUGUAUCUCAUUCAACUGUUGAAGCUGAAUAUUGAGCCUUAACAACCACCGGUUCAUAACUUACAUGGCUUCAAUAUUUACUACAUGACCUUGGCAUCCAACUUGAAUGUCGCCCAAUAAUUUUUUGUGACAAUCAAAGGGCCAUUCACAUGUCUCACAACCUUGUCUUCCAUGCCCGUACCAAACACUAUCACUUCAUCAGAGAAAAAGUUACCGUCGAUUCUCUCUGACUUCGCUACCUGCCAACUACUUUGCCAAAGGACUCUUUUUCCACUAUUUGUUCCAAACUUGGCGUUCGUUCUCUAUCAAUGCCAGGGGUGUGUGUGACAAGAAUCAUGUCUUAACUACAACAACAAAUCAAGCAAAGAAUCAUGUAAUGAUUAUAAAUCUUUCGAAGAAAACCUUAUUAAAUGCACAACAUUGAUUCAUGGGAUCAAAACAAAUAUAUCAUC